UACGUAGGGUGCAAGCGUUGUCCGGAAUUAUUGGGCGUAAAGAGCUCGUAGGCGGUCUGUCGCGUCGGCCGUGAAAACCUGCAGCUUAACUGUGGGCUUGCGGUCGAUACGGGCAUCACUGGAGUUCGGCAGGGGAGACUGGAAUUCCUGGUGUAGCGGUGAAAUGCGCAGAUAUCAGGAGGAACACCGGUAGCGAAGGCGGGUCUCUGGGCCGAUACUGACGCUGAGGAGCGAAAGCGUGGGGAGCGAACAGG
rnacentral:rRNA from 1 species